CUUCCCGUGCUGGGACCAUUUACAAGAACUCUUACCAGUCUAACUGUCUGUCGCCACUUUAAAAAAGUAUACAAAGGUGAAAAACAGAGUAAUUGGCGAGGAUGUUAGGAAGAGAAGAAUCAAAGCAUGGUUAAUCUGAACUGAAAUGGGGCCUAGAGCUUUCAACUGGAAUAGCCAAGACAUCAAGAUAAUCUCAUGAAAGGAAGAAAAAGUAUAUAAUUUGUCAAUUAUCCUUCCCUGCUCUUCUGAUAACCAAGACCUGCGGAGAAUGUUUUGAAGUUGGAAUAUUUUUUUAAAAUGUAUUUGAGAGAGAGAGACAUCAGUGUGUUGUUCCACUUAUUUAUGUAUUCAUUGGUUGAUUCUUGUAUGUGCCCUGACCUGAGACUGAACAUGAAACCUUGGUGUAUCAGGACGAUGCUCUAACCAACUGAGCUACCCUGCCAGGGCAAAAUUAGAAUUGUUUUAGUUAAUAGGAGAAAUGCAAAUGGAGGCUUUUAUCCAUUCAUGAGCACUUUUUUCAGAUUUUAAAUAUUUAUUGCCACUGAGAGCAUAAUAUACCAUAUCAAUGAGGUCAACUGAGAUUUGAGUCUCUUAAAGGAACCCCAUAGAUAUAUUUGAAAAUACAUUGUAGUUUCUAAAAUAUCCCACAUAAAACAAUUUAAUGGCCAUGAAACAUGAUUAUCAAAAGAUAAUUGAGCUAUAUUUUAUUAAGAUUAUUCUUCAAAUAGUAUCUUCAUCUUUUAGCAAUGUUUAAAAAUCUUUUUAAAUGAUACAGGUUGAAAUUAUCUGAAGUAUACAACUUCAUAAAAUUUUCAGCUUGGGAAAUUUCCAUAAUCAGUUUCAAUUUACUUUUCUGGAUGAUGCUUAAAUACCUGUAAGGGAUCUGCAUUCAUCCAGCCUUGAGGAAUUAGUUUUCACUUAGUACUGUCAGUCUCACCGAAGUGAUACAUUAAUAUUCAUAUUAGUAAUGUAUUUAACCUGUGGAAUAAAAUGUGUAUAGUCUAGGAAUUAUUGGUAUUAAAUGUGACAUGAAUAAUCUUACUCCUGACUUAUUCUAUUUACAUUAACUUUUCCUUGAUCUUACUUUUGUUGUACAAAUUUUGUCUCAUUCACCAACAGAUUUUUAAGUAAGCUGUGGGUCUUUAUGUAAGACUACAAAGUCUGAGAUGUACUGGGGUAUAAAUAAGUAACAUAAAUUGUGUCCCCUAAGAGACCUCUGAAUAGGCCAACACCCAAGAAACCCUGAAAGUUUAUUCCUUUGCCCCAGGGUUUCCCUGGAGUAGAUCUGAACCUGAAAAUGCCUACUGCAGCAGUGUUGAUCAGGAGGUUCAAAACACCAGAAGGUUCAGUAAUGGCUAGGACUUGGCCUGGAAUUAUAUGUGGAUGUUAUAAGGUGGGACAUGAGUCUCCGUGUCGGACUGCUGACUCAGUAAGUGUACAUUGCCUUCGCCUAAAAGAGUUAUAGUGUCCUUUGAAGAAUAACAGAAAAUUCUGCAGCCUCUAUUUCGACAUCCUUCAACAUCCUCUGACUCUGAUGAAAUAGAUGCUAAAGUCAGCUUGCUUGAAGGUCUAAACUUCACGUCAGGCAGGUGCCAUAGGUUUGACGAUAUUCCCUGAGACAUACAUAAUACAUUUGCAAGUAACCAAUGUUUAAUAUUUGGCUAUAGGGGUCCUGACCCUUCAGUCCUCUAUUCCAGGGGUGGGGAACGGCUAGCCCGCCGGCCAUAUAAGGCCCAUGAAAUCAUUUGGUCUGGCCCUGCCAAGGCAUUAGGGGUGAAUUAAUUAAAUGUUUGUCCAAAUACAGCAGGCUAAUUUUUACGUUGAUAAUUUUGUAUGGCCCCCAAAUAACCUUUUAAAUAUACAAAUGGCCAUUGGCUGAAAAAAGGUUCCCCAACCCCAAAUACUAAGUCAGCAAUGUACCUGGAAGCUAGAAGUGUGCCCUUGGGGAAAAAUUGCAAAGUAUAUGAAUUAAAAGAGUUGAGAGAACUUUGGAUGGUGGAGAAUUGUUAGAGCUGCAGUUUUCUCUGCCUGUUACAGUUCUAGAUAGCUAACCGACCACCCACAGCAUUUGUCUAGACCACCUUUUCUAAAAGUAUUUCACUCAAGACUCGUCUUGGAAAAAAGUCUCUAUGGUCAAACACAUUUCAGAAACAAGCUAUACAUUAGUCCCUCUUGGUUGGUUCACAAUCACUGUGUUUGUUUUCCUAAAGGUUCUGAGAAGUCCUGUAAGAAAGAAACCUUACUUAACCCAGAGUUUCCCAAACGUAUUGGCUUUUCCCUAAAUUGCCUAUAUCCUAUGGGAGCAUUUUUGGAUAUUUCAGGUCUGUAAUGGAUACUGCUGUGGCUCAGCAUGAACAUCAGCUCCAGUUAGGCCAGUCGUCUCCUACCCAACAGCACUGGGGAUACAGUCCACAAACCCUUCUGUGCUUCCGGGGAGACGCACAGAAUCUGGAUGGAGUCAUAAGAAAACACCCAAUAUACCUACCCCUUUAAAAACAAAACAACAGUGUUUGCCAGUUGCCUCCACCUGGGUUCUUUCCCUGGGACUGAGAUGAAUGUAGUGCUAAUCUACAAUGUACCUUCCCCUCUUCCCAAAAUACAAGCAAAGGCUGCUGACUCAGCUAUAUAAUUAAAAGGAGAUAAUGCUAACUGGAAGUAAGUUACUGCAGUUCCUAAGAGCUGUAGGCAAGAACAGGAUAUUUACUAUGAAUAUUUUCAUUUUUGCGUCAAGCACUUCAUUCUUAGCAUAUGUAUUUUUACUAACCAUGAUACCAAAUAGCAAGAAAGUCGUGGGUAAGCUGUAUUGCCCCUUCUUCCGUUUGCCUCUUAAAGCAGCCCUAGGCAGUGUGGGCUUUCCCAAUCCCCCAAGCCACCACUGAAUCACCUCGUUUCUCUUUUCUACAAGUUGCCUGCCCCUUUAACAGUAACCACUUGAAAAUUAAAGUUGCCCUUAGUUUGGUUCAGGAACACAGCUGUACAGAAUGCCGGACAGAAAUAAUUUAGGAUAAGUAGAUAUCCUCUCUGUUUUCCCAAAUACCUUUAUAAAUUUUCUGCCAAACCUACAUAAUGGUUAUUAAGGAGUUGAUGUAGAAUGCGAGAACUAUGUGACAAAAAGGACACAGCUGUUUAAAGAGCUAAAAGUGAGUUUCAAGCAGAAGGAACGCAGGUGCAAAAAUCCUGAGCUAGGAACCAGCAUGUCCAGAGUAAAAGCAUAAAAGAGGCUUUAGCCAAGAGCGAACAGGAAAACAGCUGAAGCCAGAGAAAUAGGUAACUUCACCAUCAAAGGCAACGUUAACCUCCCCAGAAAUCAAUAGCAAUGUCACACUUCACUGUUGUGAGGUGCAAUGCGAGGUUUCCACUCACCAUCAUGUGUGUGGAUUAGGGACAGGUGAGCAUACUCUUUAAAAGGCCAUAAGGUUAAUCUAUAGGGGAAGGAGAUUUUAAAACUCCUUAAAAAGAAUUGAUUACCCUCUCCCCCAGAAUCUACGGUCACCUAACUUCGUUAUUCUGCCCACUGCUGUCCAAUUCUCUCGCCAAUUUCCCCCCAGUUCACUCUGCUCUAGCCACACUGGCCCCCACACUCUCCCCCUCUCUAUGUACUUCAGGGCUUUGCACUAGCUCCUCCCUCCCCUUAGAGCACUGAUCCCCAGUAUCCACAUGGCUAUCCUCACUCCCUUCAGGUGUCUGCUCCAAGUUCAUGUAUAAAGAUGGCUUCCUUGAGUAACCUAUCUCACAUAGCACCUACCACUCCGUUUUCUUCUGUCCUUGUACCAUGCUUUAUUUAUUUUUUAGCACUCAUCAUCUGACCCUAUCACCAGCUGUUCAUGUGUUUAUUGUAACAAAUUAAAAUGUAGAAUAUAAAAUGUAGAAUUUGGGCAGAACCAGAAUUUUAUCAGUUGGGUUCACAAGGCAAUGUUAUCACUGCUGCCCUUAUUUGAGAUACCUCAAAAUCUUUCACUAAAAACCAAGAGAAAUAACCAGUCACUAACACCAACGUAGAGGGAAUUUAGUGAAAUUCAUGCUGCCUACUAGGAAUCAUCCAGCUGGUCCAAAAACCCGUUCAUCGCUAUCCCAUAAAACUGGCUCUGUCUCCUAACUUCCCUUUCUUCCUGACACCACAUUAUCAGAAUCAUUUAUGGUCAGUCCUGUACAGCCUUCUUGGAUUUUUAAAUUCAUUUUUAUUAGCCCUAUUCAACCUUUCCACACUGUGUAAAUUUCAGCCUUGAAGUGGCUCAGACUUGUACAAAGCAUUCGACCAUAGAAACCUCCUCAGCAUCCUUUUUGUCUCCUCCUUUACCUCCGGCAUAUGCCUGGCUCUCCAGGCCUGUGAGCACACCACUCAAACCUGUGUUUCCACUGACGUUUCCAUACGCUGUCCUUAUCCAGGCCCUCGUUCCCCUUUUCUGGGCGAUCGUAAUGGCUUCCUACUCUAACCCUUACCUCCCAUCCCUUGCCCAACCAAUUCAUAUUAUUAAAAUACAAUAAAAACUUGGCAUAAUGUGAUAAAUGGAGUCCAUAAAUGAACUGAUUAUAUUUUUACAAGUCAGGAUACUAUUUUGGUGAGAUUACCGGGAUCAGGCUGUCUAAUACAAAUCCAUCCCAAGUCUAGACCCUUUUUUACUAGAACCAUGGAAACAGCACUGGGCAUUUUCCUUUCUUCUCUUGGAUCCUCGAUCCUAAGGGCCUUUAAGUUUGCCAUUCUUGCAUGGAUAGUGCCUGAUAAUGAGUCUUCAAUUUCUCACUGGAUUUUGGAAAAUUGUAUUUAAUUAAGGAAAAAAAGUUUAUUGGUACUUCAGCAUAAUAAUUACAUACUAUAGAAUUGUUUGGGCCUUGUAAAACGUUUAUAGAAAUAAUUUUAUUAAUAAUAGAAAAGGAUGAUUACUAACAUUUUAAAAGGAAGUUUCUCUUUAUAAAAUAAUGCCAUUUAUGGUAACCCGUUGGACUUAAAAAUGCAUUUAAAUGGUUCAAGGUAUCUUCUUGAUAAAAAAUAUGUAUGAUAAUGGAGACAGACAGUGAUAAAUAUAUAUAAUAUAGCCUUGACACUGGGUUAACUGAAUAAAUAGAAAUUAUACAGUUUUAAUAGCCAUUGUAAUGUAUGGAUGGAUAGGAAAAGAAAAACCAUCUGUGUCCAACAUUUUCUAAAUUAUUUUAGUCAAGGGAUAGAGUGCAGGCCCUGGCUGAGUAGCUCAACUGGUUAGAGCAUUGUCCUGAUACACUAAGAUUGCAGGUUCUAUCCCCAGUCAGGGCACACACAAGAAUUAACCAAUGAAUACAUAAAUAUGUGGAACAACAAAUCAACAUUUCUCUCUGUAUCUCUUGUUGUUUCACUUUCUAUGUCUGUCUCUCCCCUCCUUCCUCUUUCUCUCCCCUUUCUGCCCUCUCUCUAAAAUAAAUCAAUACUUUUAAAAUUUUUUUUUAAAAAAAGAGUCCAUAACUAGCCAAUGAAGCAGAAUUAUCAGUACUUCCUGUUUAUAUCAACUCAAAUGUAUAUAAUAUGGAAAUAUGACUUUGCCAUUCCUUAUUGAAUAAUACUUUCUUCAGAUUUCAUAAUGCUUAGUGAAUUGGCUUUUUGAAAAUUCAUGUGUGUCCAGAAUAAUGCCAAGCACACAAGAUUUAAAAAUAUGAUUGUUGCACUAAGUGAAUUUCUGUAGAAAAUAAGAUAAUUUUGCUUAAAGGAAAUUUUAGUAUUGGCCUGUUUUUUAAGGUCUAUUUCAGCCUGCCUAGUGAGUAUUACUAUAUGUCCCUGUCUACACAAAAACCAAAGCACUAGACAGGCUUUCAGCCAUCCUGCUCACCUUUCUAUUUGUAAGGUUUAACAAUCCUUACAACCUUGUCUUUAAAAGGGGAAUAUUCCCCUGGCCAGUGUGGCUCAGUUGGCUGGGCAUCAUUCUGUGCACUGAAGGUUCCUGGCUCAAUUCCCAGUCAGGGCACAUGCUUGGGUUGUGGGCGAGAUCCCUCAUAGGGGACAUGCAGGAGGCAGCAGAUUGAGAUUUCACUCUCGCAUCAAUGUUUCUCUCUCUCUCUCUCUCUCUCUCUCUCU